rfam:Chelonia mydas contig212045, whole genome shotgun sequence.
GUGGGCUAUGGGGACAUGCACCCAAUUACCAUUGGGGGCAAAAUUGUGGGGUCCCUCUGUGCCAUUGCCGGGGUGUUGACCAUUGCCCUUCCUGUGCCUGUGAUAGUCUCCAAC